rnacentral:rRNA from 1 species
GAUGUAAGGGAGUCUAUGCGGUUUUGUUCGGUCGAUUGCGAGGAUCGAGGCGCAGAUUAGCGUAAAAACAGUCGCCCCGAGUAUGCACCAGUCCGUGGAGUUCCCGACUCAUGUCUUAUGUGGGAUCCUUGGAGCAUUCUCGGAUGUUACGUGUAUCUAGGGACUUUGGGCGCACACUUAUCUCGCACCUCUAAAUCGGCCCGAAGUGGCACUGCAGCGGAGCGAGCGCAGCUAGCUUUCCAGGUCCAGGUCAAGUUUGUCAGCAAAUGUCAAGUGUCACGGUAGGGCGAGAGAGCAACUCAGAAGCGAUUCACUUUCGGAUGGAGGCUCAAUUCGCCUCCAUGAGCCCGAAUCGCUAGUAUCGCGGAUCAGCUACGCCGCGGUGAAUAUGUUCCUGAGCCUUGUACACACCGCCCGUCAAGCCACGAAAGCUGAGAGUACCUGAAGUCGCUUGUCCAACCGCAAGGAGGACGGCGCCCACGGUAAGCUCGGUGAUUGGGACUAAGUCGUAACAAGGUAACC